rnacentral:lncRNA from 1 species
UAACAGGCUAUAAAUAUAUACCCACCCUAUUUGCACCUCCCUCGAGAUGCAGCACAACCUUGUUUUCCCACGCCUGCACAGAGCAGCUUGCAAGGUGUGCUGGCUGUGCAAAGAGAGGAGAUUCCACAGAAAGCUGGAAAUACACCAAAACUUCAGCAUCUCUGCUCCACUGCUGCUUAAUGCUCAUCCAAGAUAAGAGUGAUGGGAGGGGAAAUGUGUCCGGGCAUCGAGAGCUCACCACAGGCAGCUGCUGCCCAAGGUCAGUGUGAGUUUCAGCCCUCCACCAACAGGCAGAAAGAGCUCAUGGUGUGUUUUUUUUUGCCCCCACAGACUCCACCAUCGCCCACGUUCGACGGAACAGGCCUCCUCCCAUGCAGCAGAUGAGCGACACCACAACGUAUGCCAAGGUGACCCGCACCCAGACCCGAUAGCGCUGCCACAGGGGAAGGGCACAGGAGCCUUGCCCACAGCUGCCUUUGCUCUCUUGCAGAGGGCUUGUGCAGCCAUAACGUGGGGUUCGGGGCUGCACUUUGGUCUUUUUUUUUUUUUUUUUUUUUUUUUUUUUUUGUCACAGGGAAGGGCUGUGAGUGUCUAGCCAAGAUGAUGUAGGACUCACACUUCC